rnacentral:rRNA from 1 species
UACAGAGGGGGCGAGCGUUGUUCGGAAUCACUGGGUGUAAAGGGUGCGUAGGCGGUCGGUUAAGUCUGAUGUGAAAGCCCUCGGCUCAACUGAGGAAUGGCAUUGGAAACUAGCUGACUGGAGUACCGGAGAGGGAAGCGGAAUUCCUGGUGUAGCGGUGAAAUGCGUAGAUACCAGGAGGAACACCGGUGGCGAAGGCGCUUCCUGGCCGAGUACUGACGCUGAGGCACGAAAGCGUGGGGAGCGAACGGG